GUGCCAGCAGCCGCGGUAAUACGGAGGAUGCGAGCGUUAUCCGGAUUCAUUGGGUUUAAAGGGUGCGUAGGUGGCCAUUUAAGUCAGCGGUGAAAGUUUGUGGCUCAACCAUAAAAUUGCCGUUGAAACUGGAGGGCUUGAGUAUGUUUGGGGCAGGCGGAAUGUGUGGUGUAGCGGUGAAAUGCAUAGAUAUCACGCAGAACUCCGAUCGCGAAGGCAGCUUGCCAAGCCAUAACUGACACUGAAGCACGAAAGUGUGGGUAUCAAACAGGAUUAGAUACCCUGGUAGUCCACACAGUAAACGAUGAUUAUUAGGAGUUUGCGAUAGACAGUAAGCUCCACAGCGAAAGCGUUAAAUAAUCCACCUGGGGAGUACGCCGGCAACGGUGAAACUCAAAUGAAUUGACGG
rnacentral:rRNA from 1 species